rnacentral:rRNA from 1 species
AGAGUUUGAUCAUGGCUCAGAAUCAACGCUGGCGGCGCGCUUAACACAUGCAAGUCGCACGAGAAAGUGGAGCAAUCCAUGAGUACAGUGGCGUACGGGUGAGUAACACGUGGAUCAUCUACCUCUUAGUGGGGAAUAACCCUGGGAAACCGGGGCUAAUACCGCAUAAGCUCGAGAGAGGAAAGCAGCAAUGCGCUGAGAGAGGAGUCCGCGGCCGAUUAGCUAGUUGGCAGGGUAAACGCCUACCAAGGCAAAGAUCGGUAGCCGGCCUGAGAGGGCACACGGCCACACUGGCACUGAAACACGGGCCAGACUCCUACGGGAGGCAGCAGUGGGGAAUCUUGCACAAUGGGGGAAACCCUGAUGCAGCGACGCCGCGUGAGCGAUGAAGCCCUUCGGGGUGUAAAGCUCUUUCGGCAGGGACGAUCAUGACGGUACCUGCAGAAGCAGCUGCGGCUAACUACGUGCCAGCAGCCGCGGUAAUACGUAGGCAGCGAGCGUUGUUCGGAGUUACUGGGCGUAAAGGGUGUGUAGGCGGUUGCUUAAGUUUGGUGUGAAAUCUCCCGGCUCAACUGGGAGGGUGCGCCGAAUACUGAGUGACUCGAGUGCGGGAGAGGAGAGUGGAAUUCCUGGUGUAGCGGUGAAAUGCGUAGAUAUCAGGAGGAACACCGGCGGUGUAGACGGCUCUCUGGACCGUAACUGACGCUGAGACACGAAAGCGUGGGUAGCAAACAGGAUUAGAUACCCUGGUAGUCCACGCCCUAAACGAUGCAUAUUUGGUGUGGGUCAUUCAGUUGAUCCGUGCCGGAGCUAACGCGUUAAAUAUGCCGCCUGGGGAGUACAGUCGCAAGGCUGAAACUCAAAGGAAUUGACGGGGGCCCGCACAAGCGGUGGAGCAUGUGGUUCAAUUCGACGCAACGCGAAGAACCUUACCUGGGCUCGAAC